CGAAAUCAAACGUGUGUAUGCGUGUGUGUGUGUGUCUGUGUGGAUCCGAAGGCACCGGCGCAGGGGACCGUUUAAAAAUAGGUCCGCGCCAGCAGUUGGGAUCCCCCGGGGGCUAAGAGGAAAGAGCCCCCUUCGCCCAUCCAUCGAGGUCGGCUACUUGGCGGAGGGGAGUGGGGAAGGACCAGAAAGGGGGGGGAGGUGGAGGAGAAGGAGGCAACCCCCAACUCCAAGCCUACCCAAAGGCCGACCUAUCGGAGGGAAAAAAAGGACCGAAAGGUAAAAGGGGCGAGGAACCUCCCGUCGCCCAACCUGCUCAGAUUGAAGUGCGCCAGACCUCUGAGCCGGGGAAGGGAGGCGGCGACGAUGUAUAUAAUCUCUUCUUCGCUCUCAAAAGCAGAAAACAGCAAUUUUGACUUGAUCUCUCUGAAAAUGCAGCGAAUAAGGCUUUUUAUGGGAAGAACCAAGAUUAAAAUAUACAAUGUUUCUUCUGCUGGAAGAUAUCGGAGUACGGCUUUGAUACAUCAGCCAUGAUAUCCUUCUAUACCAGCAGGGGGUUUGGGUUUGGAGGUAUUGUUUCGUGCUGGUUCUGCUCAUUCCUUCAUGGGUAGUUCCAGUUGUAAUGAGAGAGGAGAAUGAGCUUGCUCAUCUCCCUUUGCUUUUUAAUAUCUAUGUACAUUUGUUGGAUAAGGCUAUCUAUCAGUUCAGGGUGCAGUAUCAUAAAUAUGCCAGUGACUAUCAGCUAUAUGAAGGGACGUGGUGGCUCAGUGGCUAAGACGCUGAACUUGUCGAUAGAAAGGUCGGCAGUUCAGUGAUUCGAAUCCCUAGUGCCGCAUAAUGGGGUAAACUCCCAUUACUUGUCCCAGCUUCUGCCAACCUAACAGUUCGAAAGCACGUAAAAAAUGCAAGUAGAAAAAUAGGGACUACCUUUGGUAGGAAAGUAACAGUAUUCCGUGCGCCUUUGCCGUUUAGUCAUGCUGGUCACAUGACCACAGAGACAUCUUUGGACAGCGCUGGCUCUUCGGCUUUGAAAUGGACAUGAGCACUGCCCCCUAGAGUCAGGAACGACUAGCACAUAUGUGCAAGGGGAACUCUUACCUUUACCUUUAUCAGCUAUAUAUAAUUACCACAGGUUGAAUAAGGGAGUCUAUCAAAAUCUCAUUCCAGUAUAUGGAGGCUACAGAUGGAAUUAUUUUCUGUUGCAGUUUUCUUUCAUACCCUGCAUUACCUCUUGAUGUUCCCUGUGCCAUCUUUUUGAGGUAGGCCAGGUCACUGCAUGACUGGAAUUUUGUUCACCUACUGUAGGCUACAGUGACAGUAUCUUGAAAGUCUGUGUUUUCCCUUUCCUCCCUCUCUUUACCCCAAGGAGUUAAGGUGGAGCCAGUUUGAAUUUCUUUCCCCUGCUUUUUUUGGCUUUCUGGACUUAAAACAUGUUUUUGCAACUAUUGUUGCAUAGUUUAUCUGUCUUUGUGGCUGUCCCCACCCUGAAGACCUGGGGGUACUCUUGGAUUCAUAACUUGAUAGGCAAACAGAAGCUGUGGCUGGGGAGGAAGGGGGGAGGGCUUUUUGCAGCUGGUGCCUCAAUUGCAGCCUUUCCUGGAAUGUGAGAAUCUUACAAAAAAAGAACUCAUGCUUUCAUUAUCACUUUUGUGGAUCACUGUAAUGCCUCAUUGGGCUAUUUUGAAGAUACCUACAACUUACAUUAAUCUAGAAUGCAGUGGUCCAGUGAUUAGUAGGUACGUGGUUCCAGUCAGUGGUGAAAUCCAAAUUCUUUUACUACUGGUUCUGUGGGCAUGGCUUGGUGGGCAUGACAGGGGAAGGCUACUGCAAAAUCUCCAUUCCCACCCCACUCCUGGGGGAAGGAUAUUGCAAAAUCUCCAUUCCCACCCCACUCUGGGACCAGCCAGAAGUGGUAUUUGCCGAUUCUUUGAACUGCUCAAAAUUUCCGCUUCCAGUUCUCCAGAAUCUGUCAGAACCUGCUGGAUUUCACCUCUACUUCCAGUGCUCCAGUCCCUAUACUGACUAGAGCUUAGAAACUAUAUUGGCUUCUGAGCACAGUUCAGGUUAAGGCUGUACACUCUUUGAUUCUGAUAUAGCUCCAAGGCUGCUCUCUCCAUCCAGUAUCCACCUAUUCAACUGUCAGCCUCCCAAGUAGACCAGAGAGGAAACACAACAAGAUGAGUUAAUUCUACUUUAUUGAAGACUACAUUAACUCAAUGUUGCAAGUCAGAAAAUACAAAUGGCUUGCCAUUUCUUUUUAACCAUCUGAUAAUUUAGGGCAAACCCUUUCUUAGUUUCUUUCUCUGCCUGCUAGUCAGUUGUGGGCUCCUCCAUUUUUUUAUCUGAUUGUUCCCUAGCCAGCAUCUUUGCUCCCGAUCUUCCAAGAUCAUUCUCACAUUGGAUUGCGCCAGCACAUAGAUCCUGGGAAAAUUUGCUAAUAGUUCUUCACUUUGGGGAGAAGGUAUACAGAGGCUUAUUAGUAUAUUUUCUCCAUUACAGUACCUGCUCUUCAAAACAUCCUUCCUCAAAUAUUCAAUCAGCUCCCCCUCUUUUACUUUACAGACAUUAUUGAGAGCAGAUUGAGGACAAUUUUUUUGAAUUAUAAAUAUUGAUGUCUAUAUGUUGGUUUUAUUCUCUAGGUUUUUUUCUUCUUCAAAAAAUAAACUCUAAUAUGGAUUUUUAAUUGUUCUUUAUUUCUUCUAUCGAUCUAAGUAAAAAUGUUUUAGACCAUGGAUAUUUUAGCAUAAUUUGAUGGAAGUACCGCUUGCCAAUAAUCUUCUGUUUGUGAUGGGAAAUGAUUGAAUAAAUGAAUAACUUAUGU